rnacentral:rRNA from 1 species
ACGCUCGACACCUACGGGGGCAGCAGUGGGGAAUAUUGCACAAUGGGGGAAACCCUGAUGCAGCGACGCCGCGUGAGCGAAGAAGUAUCUCGGUAUGUAAAGCUCUAUCAGCAGGGAAGAAAAUGACGGUACCUGACUAAGAAGCACCGGCUAAAUACGUGCCAGCAGCCGUCGGUAAUCUGAGCGGGCUGGCAAGGC